UGGUGGAAAGUGCUGUGGAUCACACAUCGGUUUCCGAUAAUGAUGGGUUGGAAGAAAUUCUUUUCCCAUUCUUCGUUCCAGUCCUUGUCUUCCGC
rnacentral:tRNA from 2 species